rnacentral:rRNA from 1 species
AUCAGCCUUUCGGGUGCGAUUCUGUGGGGUUUGAGGAGCUUAACACCUUCAUGCUUUGCAUAUUCGUGCUCUUGGGUGUACUUGCCCGUGUGGUUGGUUAACAUCAAUUUUGGUGGUCAUGAAAUGACUGGAGGAAUGUAGCUUCGAUCUUGUAUUGAAGUGUUAUAGCCUUCGGUAGAUGUGAUGAUCGAGAUUGAGGAUUGCAACGGAUACCCUUCGGGGCUACCUGUCUGAUCUCUGAUCGUUGUUCUGGUGCCGAAAGCUUGCUUACGGUUAUCAAAGUCGAUGGUCAAUAGGUUAGAACGGGUUAAAUUCGUUAAGGAUGUUGACGUAAUGGCUUU